rnacentral:lncRNA from 1 species
AUGUUUUCUUGCAACACCAGUGCAAUCACUGACUGGAGUUAUUUCCUGUCGCAGAUACUGCCGCUGAUGAACAAGUCGACGGGAUUCGUUCAUGACAGUAUGGAGAAAGUGGAAGCGGUCACGAACCCCAUGGUGACCGCUUUGGAACCCGACCUCGCCGGGAUGAGUGCAAGCCACCCGCCCCUGGACUCGAACCACACGUCCGGGCUGGAGCAUAUCUUCCAGUACUCGUACUCCGAGAACAACCAUCUGUACACGGACUACAGAACGCCGCCCAAAGACCCGAUCCCCCUGCCCAAAGCAGUCCUGUACUUAGUCAUGGCUGCGUUAGUGGUUGUGGCAGUGGCUUAUGCCAUCGUUGGGCACCUGGUAAAAGACCUGGUCCAUGAAUUUGUCGACUGGGUGUUUGGCCCUCAUUCGACCAGGGCAAACAGCAGCAAGACGGACAUCCACUGCAUCACAAGCACUGUGAAUGAGAUGAGUGAUCUGCCACAGAUGGUGGAAACAAACUUCAUUUCCCAUGACCACCCUAAUUGCUCAGGUGCCAUCAAGGAUGAGGAGUUUGUGGUUACCAUUGAUGAAACAUUGCAACUACCUCGGGAGGUCUACAGCGGGACCUAACUAUUGGAAUGCCACUGCAGCUGCCAGUCUUUUAAUCCACCUUGAGGGCCAGGAAAUUUGCACAGCAGCAAGUUUGCUCGUCUUUAAUUAACGAGAGACACUGCCUGGCCUCGUUUGAAUCAAUGCAACAUGCCCUGCUCGUUGCUUGGGGUGUAAUCACAAGAUGUUUGUCUGGAAAGGUUUUCUGAAAAUGAUCCGGGAGAGAGACGGAAUAGCCGCGACUGGGUGAACCCAGAUUCGACGCUCUUUGAUCUUUUGAUCAAAUCCGAUUAAACGCUCUUUCUCUGACGCUUGAUCUCUCAGCCGAAACAGCUGUGUGGAAAGAACCGCGACACAGCUACAGUUUAGGCAACACAUUUUGUGUAUGACAUUUUGAAUCUUUGAUCAGACUGCGAAAUACCACUUGUUACGUGUCGGAAUUCUGUCUUUUUCCCUUAAACACACUCUGAAUCUUUGUCAGUUCACAUGCAGCAGUCAAUUGCAUCAUGUUAUCAUUUCCUUAUUCCAUGUGUUCAAACUGAUGAGGAUCCAGCACAUCUCAGGCACUGCAACCAAGAGCCACCUGAUGUUCUAGUCAUGUUCCAUUCGCAGAACCAAGAGCCACCUGAUGAUCUGGUCAUGUUCCAUUCGCAGAACCAAGAGCCACCUGAUGUUCUGGUCAUGUUCCAUUCGCAGAACCAAGAGCCACCUGAUGUUCUAGUCAUGUUCCAUUCGCAGAACCAAGGUCACCCAAGGUCACCCAAACUGCAUUUUUGUUGUCCUGCCAUAAGCAUCCACACCCACGAUGGGGGGAAUUAUUGCACAAAACGAGCAAUCACUUACUCAUGUGUACUGUAAAUACAAACACCAAAUACUGUCUUUGAGUUCUCUCUCUCUCUUGCUCUCUCUCUCUCUCUCUCUCUCUCUCUCUGUCUGUCUCUUUCUAACUCUGUUGGGUAAACGUGUGCCAGUGUGACCUUAAAAUGGCUGUUUUGUUCUCCAGUCUCCAUAUGUGUGUGUGUGUGCUUGCAUUUUACAAUGAAAAUAUGUGGCUCCUCACCGCUCCUCCCCCCACCCCCCCGUACCCCCCUUAGUACCUCCUAAAGAUAAGGGCUAUGCACCAGUGUGUAGCGUUUUACUGUGUUUGUCCGUGCAUUGACUUCUUCUAGGGACAGAGAAUCAGAGUGCUUCUCACACACCCAGCCAAUUCAUGCAUAAAAUCAUGCAGAUUGUAACAACCUGUGCAGUAUUUCAGUAAAAUGCACAAAUAAAAUGAUAGCUGAUUUGAAUUUAUUGAGAAAA